AAAGAAAAUAACAAGGAUUCCCCUAGUAACGGCGAGUGAAGCGGGAAGAGCACAAAUUUUAAAUCUACCUGAUUUCCAGGUCGAGUUGUAAUUUGAAGAAGUGUUUUUUACUUUCCGAGUUGGGUUAAAUCCUUUGGGAUAAGGUAUCAUGGAGGGUGAGAAUCCCGUGUAUACCAACCGCAGGAUGUUUAAUAUACACUUUCUAAGAGUCGAGUUGUUUGGGAAUGCAGCUCUAAAUGGGUGGUAAAUUUCACCUAAUGCUAAAUAUAAGCGAGAGACCGAUAGCGAAUAAGUACCGUGAGGGAAAGAUGAAAAGAACUUUGAAAAGAGAGUUAAAUAGUACGUGAAAUUGUUGAAAGGGAAACGGUUGAAGUCAGUCAUGCCGGCGGGAAUCAACUUAGGGGAAACUCUGAGUGCACUUCUUCGCUUGGCAUGUUAGCGUCGAUUUUGGAUGUCAUAAAAUGACUGGGGGAAGGUAGCUCUUUCGGGAGUGUUAAGCCCUUAGUAGAUGUGAUGUCUGGGAUCGAGGAUUGCAACGGAUACCUUUUGGGCUAGCCGCCUAGUCUCUAAUACGAAGUUGGGUUAUAGACAGCAUGCUGACUGUGAUCUGAUUUUCGGUUAAAAGAUUAGAGCGAGUGUAAAUUCGUUAAGGACGCUG
rnacentral:rRNA from 1 species